rnacentral:rRNA from 1 species
ACAUGGAUUCCCUAGUAACGGCGAGUGAACCGGGAAGAGCUCAAAUUUGAAAUCUGGCGUCCUCAGGGCGUCCGAGUUGUAAUCUAUAGAGGCGUUUUCCGUGCCGGACCGUGUCCAAGUUCCUUGGAACAGGAUAUCAAAGAGGGUGACAAUCCCGUACUUGACACGACGACCGGUGCUCUGUGAUACGUCUUCUACGAGUCGAGUUGUUUGGGAAUGCAGCUCAAAAUGGGUGGUGAGUUCCAUCUAAAGCUAAAUAUUGGCGAGAGACCGAUAGCGAACAAGUACCGUGAGGGAAAGAUGAAAAGCACUUUGGAAAGAGAGUUAAACAGUACGUGAAAUUGUUGAAAGGGAAACGAUUGAAGUCAGUCGUGACCGAGAGGCUCAGCCGGUUCUGCCGGUGUAUUCCCCUCGGUCGGGUCAACAUCAGUUUUGUCCGGUGGAUAAGGGCGGUAGGAAGGUGGCACCCUCGGGUGUGUUAUAGCCUGCCGUCGCAUACAUCGGGUGAGACUGAGGAACGCAGCUCGCCUUUAUGGCCGGGGUUCGCCCACGUCCGAGCUUAGGAUGUUGACAUAAUGGCUUUAAACGACCCGUCUUGAAAMAMGGGACMCAAAAA